UUGCCGCAGCUACCCCAACCUUCAGCAGCCACCACCCUGAUCCGUCGGCAGCCAGCAACAUCAAAGCAAGGUUCUCUACCAGCCAAAAGAAGAAAACUCUCUGAAGAUUCCGGACAAUGGAAUUUCACUUUGUUCUGCUGCUGGCUGCUUUUCCAUGACAAGACCGCCAUGUGUGACCUCCUCAACUUCAGGCCGUCCCUGGGGAUUCGCUGCUGUGAAGAAGAGGAAUUUAGCAAAUUUAGAUUUCCAUUCUUCUCCCCUUUCUGCCUGCUUGGAAUUUUGUUGGUGAUGUGAUCUGACAUGAACCAGGCUCCUGACAUUUCAACUUGAUCCUCCAAACAGUUGUCUUCCACAGUCUCUCUAUAGGCUCAUUAUAAAAAGUUGAACCCAGUAAAACAAGGUUUAGUGUUAUGAUUAUUUUAUGACAUGAUGCAUUACAAAAAAGUGAAACAUCACCUUAAGAAGGAAAUGAUAUUGUCAUUAAAUCCCAGAGAAGCCUAAUAUUUAAAUAUUAUCACUGCAUUUUUACAUUUGCUGAUUGAACUCAGAAACCUAAAAUCAUAAUAAAAAUUAUAAUGUACGUUCUUCCUUUCAA